GAUUAUGGCUCAGGAUGAACGCUGGCGGCGUGCCUAACACAUGCAAGUCGAACGGAGUUGUUCUACCCGACGAUUUCUCUUCGGAGAAUGAGUCAUUGAAACGCUUAGUGGCGGACGGGUGAGUAACGCGUGGGCAACCUGCCCUGCACAGGGGGAUAGCGGUUGGAAACGACCGGUAAUACCGCAUACCUUACAUUUGCCGCAUGACAGAUGUAAGAAAACGAUUUAGUGGUGCAGGAUGGGCCCGCGUCCGAUUAGUUAGUUGGUGGGGUAACGGCCUACCAAGACGACGAUCGGUAGCCGACCUGAGAGGGCGGACGGCCACAUUGGGACUGAGACACGGCCCAGACUCCUACGGGAGGCAGCAGUGGGGAAUAUUGCACAAUGGGGGAAACCCUGAUGCAAGCGACGCCGCGUGAGUGAAGAAGUAUUUCGGUAUGUAAAGCUCUAUCAGCAGGGAAGAUAAUGACGGUACCUGACUAAGAAGCCCCGGCUAAAUACGUGCCAGCCGCCGC
rnacentral:rRNA from 1 species